rnacentral:rRNA from 1 species
AGCGAACGCUGGCGGCAGGCCUAACACAUGCAAGUCGAACGAACCCUUCGGGGUCAGUGGCGGACGGGUGAGUAACACGUGGGAACGUGCCUUUAGGUUCGGAAUAACUCAGGGAAACUUGUGCUAAUAACGAAUGUGCCCUUCGGGGGAAAGAUUUAUCGCCUUUAGAGCGGCCCGCGUCUGAUUAGCUAGUUGGUGAGGUAAUGGCUCACCAAGGCUACGAUCAGUAGCUGGUCUGAGAGGAUGACCAGCCACAUUGGGACUGAGACACGGCCCAAACUCCUACGGGAGGCAGCAGUGGGGAAUCUUGCGCAAUGGGCGAAAGCCUGACGCAGCCAUGCCGCGUGGAUGAUGAAGGUCUUAGGAUUGUAAAAUCCUCUCACCGGUGAAGAUAAUGACUGUAGCCGGAGAAGAAGCCCCGGCUAACUUCGUGCCAGCAGCCGCAGUAAGAC